UACAGAGGGUGCAAGCGUUAAUCGGAAUUACUGGGCGUAAAGCGCGCGUAGACGGUUUUGUAAGUCAGAUGUGAAAUCCCUGGGCUCAACCUGGGAACUGCAUUUGAGACUGCAUGGCUAGAGUAUGGAAGAGGGAAGUGGAAUUUCCGGUGUAGCGGUGAAAUGCGUAGAUAUCGGAAGGAACACCAGUGGCGAAAGCGACUUCCUGGUCCAAUACUGACGUUCAUGUGCGAAAGCGUGGGGAGCAAACAGG
rnacentral:rRNA from 1 species